UUGUUUCUUACUUUUAUAGAAAAUAUACAAGACCCGAAACGCUUGCAAAGCCAACAAACUGAUGUAGAACGGGGUUCUGUUGGGGUUCUUUUGGCUUUCCAAGCGUUUUUGGAGUCUUGUGUUCGGUUUGGUGCAAAGAGCGGACCCAGAAUCUGAGGCAUCAUCUCCAGCUACUGAUUAGAGCUGGAAAAAACCUCGAUGUAACAUCGAUAAUAUAGAUGUUGCCAAAAAUGUUGCAACAUCGACAUUCGUCACUUGCAACCGGGUAAAAGAGGAAGCAUCAACGCGUGGUAAGAAUUAUUGGUGGUGUUGGCAGGCAUCGUGGGAAAAUUAUGGACACAUUUUUUGAAAGAACAUGGAAGGUGUUUCUAUUGUCACCAUCGGCGUUUUCUGUAUCUGUCUGUUGGCGCUUUUUGAACCUUGUUUUCGGUUUGACACAACGACUGGUCCCAGCUACUGAUAAGAGCUGGAAAAAACCAAAAUUUCCCUUUAAAACACCGAACAUCGAACAUCUACUACUGAUCCAUCGUUCAUGUCAGUGACAACCACUAGAGAGGCUCCAAGCAACCCGAAACUAGAA